rnacentral:rRNA from 1 species
CCUACGGGAGGCUGCAGUGAGGAAUAUUGGUCAAUGGACGAGAGUCUGAACCAGCCAAGUAGCGUGAAGGAUGACUGCCCUAUGGGUUGUAAACUUCUUUUAUAUGGGAAUAAAAUGUUCCACGUGUGGGAUUUUGUAUGUACCAUAUGAAUAAGGAUCGGCUAACUCCGUGCCAGCAGCCGCGGUAAUACGGAGGAUCCGAGCGUUAUCCGGAUUUAUUGGGUUUAAAGGGAGCGUAGGUGGAUUGUUAAGUCAGUGGUGAAAGUUUGCGGCUCAACCGUAAAAUUGCAGUUGAAACUGGCAGUCUUGAGUACAGUAGAGGUGGGCGGAAUUCGUGGUGUAGCGGUGAAAUGCUUAGAUAUCACGAAGAACUCCGAUUGCGAAGGCAGCUUACUGGACUGCAACUGACACUGAGGCUCGAAAGUGUGGGUAUCAAACAGGAUUAGAUACCCCUGUAGUC